rnacentral:rRNA from 1 species
CCUACGGGGGCUGCAGUGGGGAAUAUUGGACAAUGGGCGAAAGCCUGAUCCAGCCAUGCCGCGUGUGUGAAGAAGGCCUUCGGGUUGUAAAGCACUUUCAGUGGGGAAGAAAGCCUUGGGGCUAAUACCCUCGAGGAAGGACAUCACCCACAGAAGAAGCACCGGCUAACUCCGUGCCAGCGGCCGCGGUAAUACGGAGGGUGCGAGCGUUAAUCGGAAUUACUGGGCGUAAAGCGCGCGUAGGCGGUCUGAUAAGCCGGUUGUGAAAGCCCCGGGCUCAACCUGGGAACGGCAUCCGGAACUGUCAGGCUAGAGUGCAGGAGAGGAAGGUAGAAUUCCCGGUGUAGCGGUGAAAUGCGUAGAGAUCGGGAGGAAUACCAGUGGCGAAGGCGGCCUUCUGGACUGACACUGACGCUGAGGUGCGAAAGCGUGGGUAGCAAACAGGAUUAGAUACCCCUGUAGUC